AAAAUUACAGUGAAGGAAAGAGUAAAUUUAAUUGAGUUCCCAGAGAGCCGGGCUUUAAGCUGUGAACCGGUAGCGAGGUUAAGUUGAAGAACAUUCUGGAGUAGUUAACCAAAAUCUUUUUGAAAGUAGGCUUAAACGGACGUCCACCGUUAAAGGGAAUAGGUAUCGAUGCCAUAUAUAUGACAUUCGUACUGAUAAAGUUAGCAUUUUUGCUAAAUAGGGUGGCACCGCGUUAUAUAAUCGCCCCUAUA
rnacentral:ncRNA from 1 species